rnacentral:sRNA from 1 species
AGUAUGUUAUGACAAUACAUCUUUUACCUACUAUGGCUUACACUGUCAAGGUCUAAUGCAGAUGUCGGAAAAUCUUUGCUACAAUGAAAUAAUAGAAACGUCAUGCUGUGAGUCUUGUUCUCUGCGAGCAACCUCAUUGGCAGGCUGUGAAUAUGGGGAUCGAGAUACAAAUUUCUGCCGAUCUAUAACCCCAUGUAAGGGUAACACCUACCAGUGCUGCUUAACCUGUAACAUUGCCCAUGCAUCUGAUGUACACAGUAUUUUAUUGAUUUUUAUAUAUCUCACUCAACAAAUCAUUGUUUAGAAAAUGGUAAAUCAUUAUUUGCAUACUGAUUGUGCAAUGUUUUGAUAAUUUAAACAACGAAUUUAUUUUUUUGACAGACAUUUAUUACAUUUUACUUGUUGGAUUAAUGUUUUCUUAUGUAAAUAAAAGGACUGUGAUACAAACUUUAAAA